rnacentral:rRNA from 1 species
AUUGAACGCUGGCGGCGUGCUUAACACAUGCAAGUCGAUCGGUAACAGGUGUAGCAAUACAUGCUGACGAGAGGCGGACGGGUGAGGAACGCUUGGGAAUCUGCCUAUCAGCGGGGGACAACCCGGGGAAACCCGGGCUAAUGCCGCAUACGCUCUACGGAGGAAAGCCGGGGACCGCAAGGCCUGGCACUGAUAGAUGAGCCCAAGCCGGAUUAGCUAGUUGGCGGGGUAACGGUCCACCAAGGCGACGAUCCGUAGCUGGGCUGAGAGCACGAUCAGCCACACCGCAACUGGGACAAGGUCCGGACUCCUACGGGAGUCAGCAGUGGGGGAUAUUGGACAAUGGGCGGAAGCCUGAGCCAGCGACGCCGCGUGGGUGAAGUAGGCCUGCGGGUUGUAACGCCCUUUCGGUAGGGACGAAAGCUCUCGACCUAACACGUCGGGAGGUUGACUUAAGCUACAAAAGAAGCACCGGCUAACUCUGUGCCAGACGCCGCAGUAACAC